GCGGGAUUAACUCAAUGGUAGAGUAGCUGCUUUACACGCAGUUUGUUGGGGGUUCGAGUCCCUCAUCCCGCA
rnacentral:tRNA from 1 species